AAGACACAGUCAGCUGUUGGGGAUCAGAGGCGACACUCAUUGUAGCAGAGAGGCAGGACCAACUGGGAGAGGGUCCUUCUGUGACAACUAUUGCAUCACCGGGCUGUGUGAAGUGACUCAGCUGCCAGAACUCACACAAUAUCAUUCUACACCAAACCUCACGGGAAAAAUGCUCCACGACCCUCAGACUUAAACAGCAGCACUGGCUCCUCCCCAGAUCUCCAGCUCCCUGACCCUCAAACUCCAACUCCAACACCAGCUCUGCCCCAGGUCUCCAGCUCCACAAUCCUCAAACUACAACAGCAGCACCAGCUCCCCUGGGGAUCUCCAGCUCAAUGACUCUCAGACUUGGGAGGCAGCUCCAGCUCCCACCAAGCCUCCAGCUCCACAACCUUCAAACUAGAACAGCAGCACCAGCUACUCCCUGGGUCUCCAGCUCCCUCAAAAUUCAACUAUAGCACUGGCUGUUCCCCAGCGCCACCAGCUCCACAACCCUCAACUUACACGGUGGUAGCACCAGCUCCUCCCUAGGUCUCCAGCUACACGACCGUCAAACUUGAACUGCAACACCAGCUCCUCUUCGGCCUCCAGCUCCACAAUCCUCCAACAACAACAGCAACACCGGCUCCUCCCUGAAUCUCCAGCUCAACAACCCUCAGACUUGAGAGGCAGCACCGGCACCUCCCCAAGGCUCCAGCUCCAUGACCCUCAGAUUUGAACAGCGGUAGCACCAGCUCCUGUCCAGGUCUGCAGCUUCCAGUCCCUCAAAUAACAACAUUGCUCCUCCCUGGAUCUGCAGCUCCACGACCCUCAGACUAGAACACGAUCUGUCCUCCCUGGGUCACCAGCUUCCGAACCUUCGAACUAAAACAACAUUGCUCCUCCCUGGGUCUGCAGCUCCACGACCCUCAAACUAGAAAAAGACCUCUCCUCACUGUGUCGCCAGCUUCUGGACCCUCGAACUACAAAAACAUUGCUCCUGCCUGGGUCUGCAGCUCCACGACCCUCAAUCCAGAUCAAGAUCUCUCCUCCCUGUGUCAUCAGCUUCCUGACCCUCGAACUAUGACAGCAUUGCUCCUCCCUGGGCGCACCCUCAAACUAGAACAAGACCUCUCCACCCUGCGUCGCCAGUUUCCGGAGCCUCAAACUAAAACAACCUUGCUCCUCCCUGGGUCUGCAGCUCCACAACCCUCAAACUAGAACCAGACCUCUCCUCCCUGUGUUGCCAGCUUCCUGACCCUUGAACUAUGGAAACAUGGCUCCUCCCUAGGUCUGCAGCUCCACGACCCUCAAACUAAAACAAGAUCUCUCCUCCCUGGGUCUGCAGCUCCACGACCCUCAAACUAAAACAAGAUCUCUCCUCCCUGUGUCAUCAGCUUCCAGUCCCUCAAAUAACAACAUUGCUCCUCCCUGGGUCUGCAGCUCCACGACCCUCAAACUAAAACAAGACCUCUCCUCUCUAGGUCUGCAGCUUCCAGUCCCUCAAAUAACAACAUUGCUCCUCCCUGGAUCUGCAGCUCCAUGACUCUCAGACUACAACAAGAUCUCUCCUCCCUGGGUCACCAGCUUCCGGACCCUCGAACUACGAAAACAUUGCUCCUCCCUGGGUCUCCAGCUCCAUGACCCUCAAACUAAAACAAGAUCUCUCCUCCCUGUGUCAUCAGCUUCCAGUCCCUCAAAUAACAACAUUGCUCCUCCCUGGGUCUGCAGCUCCACGACCCUUAAACUAGAACAAGACCUCUCCUCACUGUGUCGCCAGCUUCCGGACCCUUGAACUAUGAAAACAUUGCUCCUCCCUGGGUCCGCAGCUCCACGACCCUCAAACUAAAACAAGAUCUCUCCUCCCUAGGUCUGCAGCUUCCAGUCCCUCAAAUAACAACAUUGCUCCUCCCUGGAUCUGCAGCUCCACGACCCUCAGACUAGAACAAGACCUCUCCUCCCUGAGUCACCAGCUUCCGAACCUUCGAACUAAAACAACAUUGCUCCUCCCUGGGUCCGCAGCUCCAUGACCCUCAAACUAGAACAAGACCUCUCCUCCCUAGGUCUGCAGCUUCCAGUCCCCAAAUAACAACAUUGCUCCUCCCUGGAUCUGCAGCUCCACGACCCUCAGACUAGAACAAGAUCUCUCCUCCCUGGGUCACCAGCUUCCGGACCCUGGAACUACAAAAACAUUGCUCCUCCCUGGGUCUGCAGCUCCACAACCCUCAAACUAAAACAAGAUCUCUCCUCCCUGUGUUGCCAGCUUCCGGACCCUCGAACUAUGACAACAUUGCUCCUCCCUGGGUCUGCAGCUCCACGACCCUCAAAGCAGAUCAAGAUCUCUCCUUCCUGUGUCAUCAGCUUCCUGACCCUUGAACUAUGACAACAUUGCUCCUCCCUGGGUCUGCAGCUCCAUGACUCUCAAACUAGAACAGCAGCACCAGCUCCUUCCUGGACCUCCAGGUCAAUGACUCUCAGACUUCAAAGGCAGCAGCAGCUCCACCCCCAGGCUCCAGCUCUAAAACCCUCAGAUGUGAGCAGUGGCAGCACCAGCUCCUUUCUGCGUCUCCGGCUUCAUGAUCCUUAAAUUAGAACAGCAGCGCCAUCUUCUCCCUGCGUCUCCAGCUCCAGGAACCUCAAACUGCAACAGGAGCACCUGUUCCUCUGGGAUUUUCACCUCCACGACCCUGAGGUGUCAGUGGCAGCACUGGCUCCUCCCCUGGGCUGCAGCUCCAGAACCCUCAAGAAUAAUCCCUUCUCAUGAAAUGUAGCAGUCAGGAAAACUGCAGAGGAAGUAAAUAAAUAAAUGUUUUCUUUCAAA
rnacentral:lncRNA from 1 species